GUGGGGAAUAUUGGACAAUGGGCGCAAGCCUGAUCCAGCAAUGCCGCGUGGGUGAAGAAGGUCUUCGGAUCGUAAAGCCCUUUCGACAGGGACGAUGAUGACGGUACCUGUAGAAGAAGCCCCGGCUAACUUCGUGCCAGCAGCCGCGGUAAUACGAAGGGGGCUAGCGUUACUCGGAAUUACUGGGCGUAAAGGGCGCGUAGGCGGCUCUGUUAGUCAGGCGUGAAAUUCCUGGGCUUAACCUGGGGACUGCGCUUGAUACUGCGGAGCUUGAGGCCGAGAGAGGGUGGUGGAAUUCCCAGUGUAGAGGUGAAAUUCGUAGAUAUUGGGAAGAACACCGGUGGCGAAGGCGACCACCUGGCUCGGUACUGACGCUGAGGCGCGACAGCGUGGGGAGCAAACAGGAUUAGAAACCCCGGAGUCC
rnacentral:rRNA from 1 species